rnacentral:rRNA from 1 species
UACGUAGGGGGCAAGCGUUGUCCGGAUUUAUUGGGCGUAAAGCGCGUGUAGGCGGCCUUACAGGUCAGCUGUGAAAACUCGAGGCUCAACCUCGAGACGUCGGUUGAAACCGUUUGGCUAGAGUCCGGAAGAGGAGAGUGGAAUUCCCGGUGUAGCGGUGAAAUGCGCAGAUAUCGGGAAGAACACCAGUGGCGAAGGCGGCUCUCUGGGACGGUACUGACGCUGAUGUGCGAAAGCGUGGGGAGCAAACAGG